UGGAUCACUGAUGAACACUGGUGCCAUAUGAAUUGUGGAUCAUGAUUACAGGUCUGGGAGUCUGAGAUCCAC